rnacentral:rRNA from 1 species
GACGAACGCUGGCGGCGUGCUUAACACAUGCAAGUCGAACGGAAAGGCCCUGCUUUUGUGGGGUGCUCGAGUGGCGAACGGGUGAGUAACACGUGAGUAACCUGCCCUUGACUUUGGGAUAACUUCAGGAAACUGGGGCUAAUACCGGAUAGGAGCUCCUGCUGCAUGGUGGGGGUUGGAAAGUUUCGGCGGUUGGGGAUGGACUCGCGGCUUAUCAGCUUGUUGGUGGGGUAGUGGCUUACCAAGGCUUUGACGGGUAGCCGGCCUGAGAGGGUGACCGGCGACAUGGGGACUGAGAUACGGCCCAGACUCCUACGGGAGGCAGAAGUGGGGAAUAUUGCACAAUGGGCGGAAGCCUGAUGCAGCAACGCCGCGUGCGGGAUGACGGCCUUCGGGUUGUAAACCGCUUUCGCCUGUGACGAAGCGUGAGUGACGGUAAUGGGUAAAGAAGCACCGGCUAACUACGUG